rnacentral:rRNA from 1 species
UACGAAGGUGGCAAGCGUUGUUCGGAUUUACUGGGCGUACAGGGAGCGUAGGCGGUUGGAUAAGCCCUCCGUGAAAUCUCCAGGCUUAACCUGGAAAGUGCAGAGGGGACUGUUCAGCUAGAGGAUGGGAGAGGAGCGCGGAAUUCCCGGUGUAGCGGUGAAAUGCGUAGAGAUCGGGAGGAAGGCCGGUGGGGAAGGCGGCGCUCUGGAACAUUUCUGACGCUGAGGCUCGAAAGCGUGGGGAGCAAACAGG